rnacentral:rRNA from 1 species
AGUCGAGCGAGCUUGCCUAGAUGAUUUUAGUGCUUGCACUAAAUGAAACUAUAUACAAGCGAGCGGCGGACGGGUGAGUAACACGUGGGUAACCUGCCCAAGAGACUGGGAUAACACCUGGAAACAGAUGCUAAUACCGGAUAACAACACUAGACGCAUGUCUAGAGUUUGAAAGAUGGUUCUGCUAUCACUCUUGGAUGGACCUGCGGUGCAUUAGCUAGUUGGUAAGGUAACGGCUUACCAAGGCAAUGAUGCAUAGCCGAGUUGAGAGACUGAUCGGCCACAUUGGGACUGAGACACGGCCCAAACUCCUACGGGAGGCAGCAGUAGGGAAUCUUCCACAAUGGACGAAAGUCUGAUGGAGCAACGCCGCGUGAGUGAAGAAGGGUUUCGGCUCGUAAAGCUCUGUUGGUAGUGAAGAAAGAUAGAGGUAGUAACUGGCCUUUAUUUGACGGUAAUUACUUAGAAAGUCACGGCUAACUACGUGCCAGCAGCCGCGGUAAUACGUAGGUGGCAAGCGUUGUCCGGAUUUAUUGGGCGUAAAGCGAGUGCAGGCGGUUCAAUAAGUCUGAUGUGAAAGCCUUCGGCUCAACCGGAGAAUUGCAUCAGAAACUGUUGAACUUGAGUGCAGAAGAGGAGAGUGGAACUCCAUGUGUAGCGGUGGAAUGCGUAGAUAUAUGGAAGAACACCAGUGGCGAAAGCGGCUCUCUGGUCUGCAACUGACGCUGAGGCUCGAAAGCA